rnacentral:lncRNA from 1 species
UGGCCUGGGUCGCAGCUGUCAACAGAACAAACGUCACUUUUGCCAGCGUUUCCAAAUAUAUCGUUUGUUCCAGGCAUUUCAUUAAAGGCAAACCAUCAUAUGAGAUGUUCGACCAAGACCCUAACUAGGCUCCGUCUCUUCACCUUGGACACGGAGAACCUCAAACAUGUGAGGCAAUUUGCAUUGUCAGUAACCAAGAAUAACAGAAACUAACAUAAACAAAGGAAAAAACAAAGGAACACAAAAGUAAAGGGCAAAGUAAAUCUGAAAAUGACAGCAUGUUUACCGGAUCAAUUCUUCAUAGAUGUUAGUUAGGUUUAUUGAUUUUUUGUUUAUGUAUUUGGUAACGUCCAUUUAGUUUUUUAACUUCAAUUAGGAGUACUUUGAAUAUGUGUUUAGUUUGUGAAAAUGUGGCAUUGGUAUUCCCUAAUAGGAUAUAUAGGUUAAAUCUUGUUGCUAUUUUUGUUUGGUGCAUGAAGUAAGUUAUUGUGUUCUCCACCUUGAAGGAAAUUGUGUAGUUGCCAGUUUUUGGGAUAAGUAGAUUUAGUGUCUUGCCAAAAUUUUGAGCGUGAUGAGCAGGAAAAGAAGAGGUGGGUAACAUUGACAAAAGACAUCUGACUAAAGCAACAUUUUGAAUCUAUAUCUGUAAAGUUGGAGAUGAGCUCAUUUGUAGGAUAAUACCUUUGUGGUAUUUUAUAAUGCACUUCUCUUAUUUAUUAAUAAUACAGAACUGAAAGGGCAAAGUCCAUGUUUUUUCAGAUCAAUGUUGUGAAAUAUAGAGUUCCAAAAGUAGUUACAUUUAGUUUGUAAAAAAAAAAAUUAAUAGACUUUCUAAUAUGAUAUGCAGCUCUGUACUAUUUGUGAAAGGUUUGUGUUCCCUUUGAAAUAGUGUGCGUAAGUAAUGGUGUUUCAUGAAAGAGCGGAGCCCAUUUGGGAUACACUAU